CGGUAGGGCGGGACGGGGUGGGAGGUAAUGUCUGGGAAGAGCUCGAUGGAGGGGGAUAACUACUGGAAACGGUAGCUAAUACCGCAUAACGUCGCAAGACCAAAGAGGGGGACCUUAGGGCCUCUUGCCAUCGGAUGUGCCCAGAUGGGAUUAGCUAGUAGGUGGGGUAAAGGCUCACCUAGGCGACGAUCCCUAGCUGGUCUGAGAGGAUGACCAGCCACACUGGAACUGAGACACGGUCCAG
rnacentral:rRNA from 1 species